rnacentral:rRNA from 1 species
UACGUAGGGUGCAAGCGUUAAUCGGAAUUACUGGGCGUAAAGAGUGCGCAGGCGGUUUUGCAAGACCGAUGUGAAAUCCCCGGGCUUAACCUGGGAACUGCAUUGGUGACUGCAAGGCUAGAGUGUGUCAGAGGGGGGUGGAAUUCCGCAUGUAGCAGUGAAAUGCGUAGAUAUGCGGAGGAACACCGAUGGCGAAGGCAGCCUCCUGGGAUAACACUGACGCUCAUGCACGAAAGCGUGGGGAGCAAACAGG